rnacentral:rRNA from 1 species
GACGAACGCUGGCGGCGUGCUUAACACAUGCGAGUCGAACGGAAAGGCCCUGCUUUUGUGGGGUGCUCGAGUGGCGAACGGGUGAGUAACACGUGAGUAACCUGCCCUUGACUUUGGGAUAACUUCAGGAAACUGGGGCUAAUACCGUAUAGGAGCUCCUGCUGCAUGGUGGGGGUUGGAAAGUUUCGGCGGUUGGGGAUGGACUCGCGGCUUAUCAGCUUGUUGGUGGGGUAGUGGCUUACCAAGGCUUUGACGGGUAGCCGGCCUGAGAGGGUGACCGGCCACAUUGGGACUGAGAUACGGCCCAGACUCCUACGGGAGGCAGCAGUGGGGAAUAUUGCACAAUGGGCGGAAGCCUGAUGCAGCAACGCCGCGUGCGGGAUGACGGCCUUCGGGUUGUAAAACGCUUUCGCCUGUGACGAAGCGUGAGUGACGGUAAUGGGUAAAGAAGCACCGGCUAACUACGUG